UUUGAGGGUUGCAAGAAAGCCUUUUCCAGACUAGAAAAUCUCAAGAUUCACCUAAGGAGCCAUACAGGUGAAAAGCCGUACCUCUGUCAGCAUCCUGGCUGCCAGAAAGCAUUCAGCAACUCCAGUGACCGUGCCAAGCACCAGAGGACACACUUGGACACUAAACCUUAUGCAUGUCAGAUUCCAGGAUGUACUAAACGAUACACAGAUCCAAGUUCCCUGAGAAAGCAUGUGAAAGCCCAUUCUUCCAAAGACCAACAAGUCAGGAAAAAGUUGAGAUCAAACUCAGAGCUUGGCCAGGACAUCCUGAAUGACUGCCUUGCAAUCCAGCCCCUCCAGCCAGCCCUGUCACCACAUGAUGCUGCAGAUAAUACUCUGGGACACUCACCAGGGCCUGUUCAUGAUAUCUAUUCAGUGGCCACGUUCCCCAGCACACAGACAACUCGAAGUGGAACAGCAACUGGGGCAGUGUCCUUGUCCCACCCUAGCAGCCACUCCUCCCCAGGACAUAACGUACAGGGUAGUCCUCUCCAUCCUUCCCCCCAGUUACCUCUUCUCUCAGCUGUGGACUCAGAGAGGU